AAGCUAUUAAGAAUGUUGCUGUUGUUUUCCAUGCUAUAUCUCUUGAUCACACUUUUAGUUUUAAGGACCUCCACUCAGACCUUGGGUCAUGGUUUACUAGCCUCCCCCGUACAAUUGUUAAAUGGAUAUGUGUCCCAAGAGUCCCAUUAUGGUCCUCUAGGGACAAAGGGGGGAUUGUUAGGCCUGAAUAAAGAUAUAGCAGACAAAACCAGGUAUGCCAACCUGACCAAAUCAGGCUAACAGAGGUUUGUGGGUAAUCCCUGAGUGGAAAACACUGAGAAGCAGCAGCAUGUCUCACAAGCGCUGGGAAAAAGUGAGAUAAGAGAGAAGCUGCAUUCCUGGCAUAGUACCAGAUGUGCUGUGUUCGGGCAGCUCCUUCGAAGAACUGAUAAGAGUCCUAGUUUCCCAGCCUCCUUGUUUUCGCUCCCUGGUUUUGUUCUUUGUUUGUUUUUAACUCCCCUACAUUUCUAACUUUAGGCAUGCAUGUAUACUAAAGGUGUCUAGUUUCUAGUUGUUAGAAGAAGGGGGUGGGUUGCUCCAGUGAAUAAUUUAUGACGCGACGGAACUGUCUAUAUAGGCUUAUACUAAGAUGUAAAGAGCAGGCUGGUUCUCUCUGGAGACGAGCUGCUCUCUAUUGAUGCGUGCACUUGUCAAUAAAGAGCUUUUGAUCGGA